rnacentral:tRNA from 2 species
GGGCCUGUAGCUCAGCUGGUUAGAGCAUCCGACUCAUAAUCGGCAGGUCGUAGGUUCAAGUCCUACCAGGCCCA